UGCUUCUCUGAUGUUAGCGGCGGACGGGUGAGUAACACGUGGAUAACCUACCUAUAAGACUGGGAUAACUUCGGGAAACCGUAGCUAAUACCGGAUAAUAUUUUGAACCGCAUGGUUCAAAAGUGAAAGACGGUCUUGCUGUCACUUAUAGAUGGAUCCGCGCUGCAUUAGCUAGUUGGUAAGGUAACGGCUUACCAAGGCAACGAUGCAUAGCCGACCUGAGAGGGUGAUCGGCCACACUGGAACUGAGACACGGUCCAGACUCCUACGGGAGGCAGCAGUAGGGAAUCUUCCGCAAUGGGCGAAAGCCUGACGGAGCAACGCCGCGUGAGUGAUGAAGGUCUUCGGAUCGUAAAACUCUGUUAUUAGGGAAGAACAUAUGUGUAAGUAACUGUGCACAUCUUGACGGUACCUAAUCAGAAAGCCACGGCUAACUACGUGCCAGCAGCCGCGGUAAUACGUAGGUGGCAAGCGUUAUCCGGAAUUAUUGGGCGUAAAGCGCGCGUAGGCGGUUUUUUAAGUCUGAUGUGAAAGCCCACGGCUCAACCGUGGAGGGUCAUUGGAAACUGGAAAACUUGAGUGCAGAAGAGGAAAGUGGAAUUCCAUGUGUAGCGGUGAAAUGCGCAGAGAUAUGGAGGAACACCAGUGGCGAAGGCGACUUUCUGGUCUGUAACUGACGCUGAUGUGCGAA
rnacentral:rRNA from 1 species